UACGUAGGGGGCAAGCGUUGUCCGGAUUUAUUGGGCGUAAAGAGCGUGUAGGCGGCCAGGUAGGUCUGCUGUGAAAACUCGAGGCUUAACCUCGAGCUGUCGGCGGAAACCAUCUGGCUAGAGUCCGGAAGAGGAGAAUGGAAUUCCCGGUGUAGCGGUGAAAUGCGCGGAUAUCGGGAAGAACACCCGUGGCGAAGGCGGUUCUCUGGGACGGUACUGACGCUGAGACGCGAAAGCGUGGGGAGCGAACAGG
rnacentral:rRNA from 1 species